AUUGAACGCUGGCGGCAGGCCUAACACAUGCAAGUCGAACGGUAACAGGGAGAAGCUUGCUUCUUUGCUGACGAGUGGCGGACGGGUGAGUAAUGUCUGGGAAACUGCCUGAUGGAGGGGGAUAACUACUGGAAACGGUAGCUAAUACCGCAUAACGUCGCAAGACCAAAGAGGGGGACCUUCGGGCCUCUUGCCUUCGGAUGUGCCCAGAUGGGAUUAGCUAGUAGGUGUGGUAACGGCUCACCUAGGCGACGAUCCCUAGCUGGUCUGAGAGGAUGACCAGCCACACUGGAACUGAGACACGGUCCAGACUCCUACGGGAGGCAGCAGUGGGGAAUAUUGCACAAUGGGCGCAAGCCUGAUGCAGCCAUGCCGCGUGUAUGAAGAAGGCCUUCGGGUUGUAAAGUACUUUCAGCGGGGAGGAAGGGAGUAAAGUUAAUACCUUUGCUCAUUGACGUUACCCGCAGAAGAAGCACCGGCUAACUCCGUG
rnacentral:rRNA from 1 species